CCUACGGGGGGCAGCAGUGGGGAAUAUUGGACAAUGGGGGGAACCCUGAUCCAGCCAUGCCGCGUGUGUGAAGAAGGCCCUCGGGUUGUAAAGCACUUUCAGUGAGGAAGAACGCCUGGUGGUUAAUACCCAUCAGGAAAGACAUCACUCACAGAAGAAGCACCGGCUAACUCCGUGCCAGCAGCCGCGGUAAUACGGAGGGUGCGAGCGUUAAUCGGAAUUACUGGGCGUAAAGCGCGCGUAGGUGGCUUGAUAAGCCGGUUGUGAAAGCCCCGGGCUCAACCUGGGAACGGCAUCCGGAACUGUCAAGCUAGAGUGCAGGAGAGGAAGGUAGAAUUCCCGGUGUAGCGGUGAAAUGCGUAGAGAUCGGGAGGAAUACCAGUGGCGAAGGCGGCCUUCUGGACUGACACUGACACUGAGGUGCGAAAGCGUGGGUAGCAAACACGAUUAGAUACCCGAGUAGUC
rnacentral:rRNA from 1 species